UGUAGAAAAAUUCUGGGAACGAGAAAUCAGGACUUUCUGAAUGAGGGAAAAGAGCAAAGGAGUGAGAAUUGUGCAGGCAAUAAUGAGAAAACAAGUGUUUUGAGGGGAAGUUUUGGAAAGUAAUGGGAGAGCAGGGAUCUUCAUCAGGAAAUACACAGUGCUGUCAAGGAAAAUACUGCUGCACAGUCCCUGCUCUCAACAACAUCCUCAGUGUCCUUGUGGUGGGGUGUCUUGGAAGGACUGUGCAGAUCAAGCUUCACACUGCCUCUGCCCUCGAGGCUCUCUGUGCUGGGAUUGCUCCUCUGAUAUUACCUCGAUUUCUCAGCCUUGCUUGUGACCAAAGAGGAGAUUUUAGCUCUUCAGGUAAUUGUCUUGUCCUGCAGAUGACGGAUUUAUAGGAAUAUUGCACAUUGUCAACAAAAAGAAACAACUGACUGAUCAGUGGGGUUUUUACUCCUCCUCCCCCUUUUCUCUGAGAGAACCAAGAGACAACCAUUUCUGGACAGCUCCCCCUCCUCUUUGAAGAGCAGGGAAUUCAAGCAGCCCAUCUAAUCCUGUGGUGCAGAGGCUUUGUUGAAGCAGGGAGGUAGGUGUUAUAGGCAGCAUAUCCUCAGCAGAAGAGUUUUUCUGGGAAGAGGACCUAGGGCUACCCAAGGGCCAGCUCAGGAUCAUUGAAUUGUGGGUCACUGGAGUAGUGGGGUGAGUACAAUUGCCUUGAGAGGUCCUGUCCAGCAAUGACUCUUCAGCAUCCUUGGUUUUCUCAGCCUUAGUACUGUAGUAAAUACAUGCUUUAGAAAGAGAAUAUGCUGGGAUCUGCAACACAUCUAGUCGAAGUGCAAGACCUCAUGGGUCCAGACGUGCAAUAGGAUGCCCACUGCUUCAGCUCAUCAGUCACCUUCUGCACCCAAUAUCUAUUCAUUCUACUGUCAGCUCCCACACUCAAUCUGUUUUACAGUCCAUUAAUUUCAAAGUAUAGGACCAGAGUAACUUCAACAAGAGACAGGGAAAAGGUUUAAAAGAGUCUGAAAAGUUUGCAAAUUUACAAACAAAUGACUGCAAAUGAUCAUCGUAUUUGAAAAGUCAUGGCAGUCCAGUGAAGUUGUCACUGACUGGAAAAGGGAAAACAUAAAAGGGUAAACAGAAAGACGUGAGGAACUGCAGGACAGUCAGUCUCACCCCAGUGUCUGGCAAGAUCGUGGGAGAGAUCCUCCUGGAAACUGUGCUAAGUCAUGAGGAAAAUAAAGAAGUGAUUGGUGGCA
rnacentral:lncRNA from 1 species